AGCUCCUUCUUCUCUGGGCUGGACCAGUACCUGACAAGGUUCCUUGAGCUGUACAAAGCCAAGAGUAGCAUCGUGGGAUUGACCAGGCUGAUGAGCUGUCUUAAUGAUGAUAGCUCCACACAAACAAAGAGGACCAUUGUUCUACUGGGCCUUCCCCACUUCCUUAAAGAAGAUCCCUCACGUGUAUUUAAGACAAUACAGGCCACAGAUGAUCAAGCCACGGUCUGUAAGGGUAUGAAAGUCGGUGUUUUGAUGGUGAAAGACGGAGAAGAGGACAUUGCCACAGCAGUCGUCCUUGAGGAAGAAGUGAUCUUGCCCGAAGUGAAG